UCUAAUGCUUUUCCAGGAAGGACUAUUAACAAUGAGUUAAUCUGUCGAAAAGAUUUGAUAUCCGAUGUCCAGUUAAAUGCCACCACAUACAAAGGGAGGAAUUAUUUCCUCGGCUGAUAGCAUUUAAAGAGACCGGCCUCGAUUUGCUGCUGCUCUGUGGUCUGAGCACCUGCUGAUUUCUUCUGUAUUACCUUGUGUUGACUGAGCUCUGUGACUGUGCUGCCUUCAGGGUCAGAGGGGAAAAGGAGAAACACUAAUGUCCUCUGCCAUGUGGGCCUGAGGUUAUCGACAGGCACGGGGCAGAUGGCUCAGCCACGGGGGGCAAACACUCACACCUCGCAAACCAGUACAUCCAUGCACACAUACGUCCAUAGGCAGACACACAAAUCUACGUAGAGGUGAGGAAGAAGGACUCCGUCAAUCUGACACUCAUACUGAUCUGCGGCUGCUCGGACUGCAUGCUGAUGUACCACAGGAAGAAUUCCCCGUGAGCAAGGACACAGAAUGACAUCCUGUCAGGCCGUGAUGAAUGCGAUUUAAACCUUCAGGUUAAACAAAGAAAAAAAAAAGACUGACUGGGACCUUGACAUUUUCACCAGGCAGCUGCAUUGACUUAAAAUAACUCACAGCUACAGCCAGGGGGCGCACUUCCAAAAUGAUUACGUUUAACUACAGUGUAUCAUGCUAACUAAGAGCAUGGUAGUAUUAUUUCAGUAAAUAGAUACAGAAAAACUCUGUUUUUCUUUUGAAAGUACGAGCAAAAUUCGAAAUACUGUUAUGUCCCCGUAUGGCAUGAAAGUCCUCGUAUAGCAGGUGGACACGAUACUUAAUGUCUUACUUUUGAGAUAUAUUUGGAAAAGAACAACAACUUCAGUGACAAAAUAAAUUGAAGGCAACCAUCAGUUAUAUAUUUAUUACUUUAUUCAUUUUACUGCUUUAUUCAGUUAAAUGUAUCAUUAAAUAUGAAGCUUUAAAACAAAAAAAAAUCAGACUUUAAGACUGAAAAGCUGAGCGAUAAUUAACUUGUUUUAUGACAUAUUAUCCUUUUCUUUAUUUAACCGUUUUCUUAUUAUGUUUUUUUUAUUUCUGCUCUUUUAUUGUUUAUUUUUUGUUUAGUUUUGAUGACAUUGUUGACUCCAUAUGUGUUUUUAUCAGGUAUUUGUGUAUUAAAGUUUUUACUUUCAAUUCAGAUCCACUCCACUAAAAAAGCAGCCCAGCCCCUCAAGAAUUAUUUUUUUCUUUCCAAAUUGAGUUUUUCCACUCAUCUGGUGAAAAUUCCUGAAAUUUCUUAAUGAACUGGAGAAGACUUGGGACAGAAGGAAACAAUUCACAUAUAUUUUUUUAACAGAUGUCAUGUUUGUGAAACUUAUGCGCAAAAUGUUUCAUUGUUUAAGUCUAAGUUAAACAAAAUGUAACAUAAAAAAAGUGAAAUGUUUGCUCUUUCUUAUUCCACCUAUGUGCUUACCGUAAUUAAGAUAAUUAAGAUAAUUAAUUUGUUUAAUUUGAAUGAUGAUGACUAUGAAAUGUGGCUAAUGAGGCUCUGUAAGUAAUUCUGCAUUAGAUUAUGCAGUUAAGAAGUCAUAUUAUUUCCAAAUAAGUUACACACAUUUGAAGUUAUAUUUCUUAACAAAUACAUUAACAAACACUGUCAUACUUUAUAUCUCAAAUCAUUGUGAGUUGUAGACAAUUUAUUGUCUAUAUUCGGUCUGUCAGUGCUAUAUCAAAACUAAACUGAUAUCGUUUAUUUGUAUUUUUUGUCUAUGUGAAUAUUUUGCACAUUAAAAGCUCAUAAGUCUUUAUACAUUAAAGACAAUAUGUGCAAUAUCAA